CACGGACCAAUUUGUUGAUCAUCAUAUCUCUCGUUUCAAACAAAACAAUCAAAACAGAAGAAAAUCAAAUCGAAAA
rnacentral:sRNA from 1 species